AAAAGCAAAACCCACUAGGAUCGGAGGAGGAAGUGGGGGCGGCCCCGCCGGCUGCCUACCUCUCGAACGGGGUCGCCGGCGUGGUCAGUUACUUAUGAUGCUCUUUCAUUUCGGAUCCAUCGUGCCUGCUCUCUCAAUUUCGAAUUAUCCAUCCGCUGCCUCGCCAAACUCAACCACUCCAUACUCUCUAAUAACUGUUCACUGCAGACGUUCCAAAAAAUCCUCCUCUCUACCGGCCUCACAACAUCGCAUCCUUGGCUCCGCUCUUCUCCUCGGCGCAUUCUCCUCACAACGCUGUUCUACGCAUUUCUUCCCGCACAAUCUCGCUCUGUGUUAAUUGGCCUUCCUAAUUUGCUCGACCUGAUCAGCCCUGUAGCGCAGAUACAUUCGGUUCAGCCAUUCCAUGGUCCACUCUUUAAAUAGGACAAACUAUUAAGGUAAAAUAUCGUCCCUUCUUGUUCUUUGGAUGGGUGCUCAAAUUUUCAUACCCAACAUUGCUUUUGUGUUCUUUCAAUGCUUGCAUCUUGAUCUAUUAAAAACCUGUUGCUCUUUGUUCCACGUUUUAUCUCCUUUGGAGUUAUUGAACAUUUCUAGCCAACCUGACCUUUGAGCCCAUAAAGUGUUCGAUAUAUUGCCCCAUACAUUCCCUGCGUAUGCAACUGAAGUGCAUAUUCGGCUAAUUGGUUUAGGAUGGCUUUUAUUUCAGACACAUUGUAAAACUCAGGUUUGGAUUUUGUUUCUGGGCUUUGUUUGGCCAUGUAGGAGAUAAUGAUUCCCAAUUUAGUAUGUAGUCAAACCAAUAGCAACCCCAAAAAUAAUAUUUACUAGCUAUUUUCAAACGGUGUCAAAAGUUUGUUCUUUCAAAAAUAUGUAUUCACCAAUGCAAAUCUUUUGUUGUUUGUACAGUCUAGACUUGGUGAUGUUCAUGAUAAGUUGAUUGAAGAAAGUUGAGUGGAUUAGCUUAUAACCGUUGUUGCCUGCGUCUAAAAAUUAACAAAGGUUUCUUUUAGUUGGAAAUUAAAAAUCAACAAAGUAAUGAUUGCUAAAUUAGUUGAUUCGAAAGAGUGGGAUUAGUCCUCUUGAUUAAUAGUUGCAAUAAGCUCCUAUUUUUUAUGCUAAAAGAGUUUAUACAUCAAUUAACAACAUGUAGUUUUCGAAAGGCUCCAGUAGAUUAUUCAUAUUAUGUUAUAGUGUAUUUAUUCCUAUUGGAAUGAUACAAGAAAAGAACAUGAAGAGAUGGAGAAUCAAGUACACUAAGCACUUGAAGUAUGAAGCCCAUAGUCAAUCCACAAUGGUCUCUUAGUCCUCCACUCUUCAAUCGACAAGGUACCUAUAGGUUCGCUACAUCUUCCCUUCUCUUUCACAAGGCGAUCAAGGACACCAGCAUACAGCAGUAACCUCAGGAGCAAAAUAUUUACCUUCUCAGCUGAUGCUUGCUUGCGGUCUUGCCCCGAUUUCCAAUUAUCAAAAUUGAGGAAAAAGAGAUUUCAUUCACCGUGCACUCAACUGAAGAAAGCAAGAGAGUCGUAACUCAAUGCGACCCCUAAUUGGUUCAAUAUGAGCGAAAUAAAAUCCCAAGCUUGAGUUCCAUUUCUAGCCCUAAUUCUAUGCGCGAGAAUGAUGGAAGGAGGAAGAGAUAUUGGAGGGGAAUAUUGUGGCUAGGUCCCGCCAAUUGGACUAAAGGUAAUACACGCUAAAGAUAAUGGCUAGCUGGACCAAUAUUAACGGCCACGUGGGCAAUUCACGACGGAGGAUGGAUAGAAGUUGACAGCAUGCUAGAUUAGGAAAGGAUGUGAAACGUUGUGCUUUUUUAAAAUAAUUUUAAAGUGCAUAGGUGGUAUUGGUGA